CUUUGCCUCACCUUUCCAGCAUCUCUGCUCUUGGCUCUCAGCUUGUUGACCUGGGACUCAGCGAUGUCAGCACGCUCCUGAGCUUCCUCCAGCUCGUGCUGCACUUUCCUGUACCUGGACAGGUAGUGAAGAUUACUUCAAGGGCACUGAAGUAGUAUGCUGAUCCAGCUUCCUGUUGUCCAUCAUCUGGAUCACCAUUCGAGCCCGCAUUAACAGUUUUACAAAAAUGAAUUCUAAGUGUACAACUCUUGGUAUGGGAAGUACAGAAGAACCUCGACAGCUGUGUUUUCACUUCAGCUCUUUUAAUUUCUCUGGCGUCUCAGGGUUAACCCUUUCCCUGUCCCCUUCAGUGUAAGACGUCUGGACAACUAUUUUGGAUAUUCAGGUUGAUGGACUGCACGAUUUCUCACAGGUUCUUGUCAUGUCUCACCAGUUGCUCUUCCACGUGUGUCGGACAUCUGGGUCGUGGAUGCCAUGUUUGUCUGCCUGCUCAUCCAGGAAGUCGAACAUGUAUUUGAUGGCAAGCGGGAGCGCGCUGCCCCGAUUCACCGUGCUGAAAAGUGUCUCAAACAGAUCAUCCACAAACUUCUGCAAUGUGCCCUGUAGGAACACACAGAACAGGUCAUUAGAAAUCGGUAUACUCUGUGUGUGUGUGUUUGUGGUUUGUGUGUUUGACCUUGGUGGCCAGAAGGCGGGUCAGGUAGAUCUCAGACACCAUCUUGCUGCCGCGCUCAGCUUCUUUUUGGUCUCCGUGUUCAUGGUUUUUGACCAGAUGCCAAACUUUAACACCACUCUCCAGAUCCGGAGUGAUCAUCGGCACACGGGAACGUGAGAACUCCGGACUGCCCGCUGACAUGGAGCGAAGGACUGCAUCUGAGAGACCGAGGGAGGGAGAGAGGGAGAGACAGAGAGUGACCUCUAAGACCACUAAUGUGUAUCUGGAAUUUUGGGGAGGGCAAAGCUGAAAAGAGUUAACUUUAGUGAAUAAUUUCUCACAAAAAAUCUCAUCAAGAGGUGCAGAUUACCAAAGAACUGCUUUAGUAAAGAACAU